AAACAUCACUCGUUCUACAUAUAACUACACACCAAACUAUGCGGAUGGCGAUAACCACAAUUGAAUAAGUGUCUUGUGGCAGUACAGUCAUAUUCCUAGGAUUGGUUGGAUUUCGAAUUGAUCGAGGCGACAAACUAAACCAAAAGCAACGUGAUGAACUAUAGGAAUUCGGUCGUCUUAGCUGGUGCGCUAACAAUAGUGAUCGUUAUUAUUUUUGUAAUGAUUGGAUUUUGAUUUGAUUGUACGAAUGGAUCCUUCCGUUAUACUGGUAUAUAAUCGAUGAGAUCCCAGUGCCAUAACCGAAUAAUAUACAAACUGAUUGUAUUUUA